rnacentral:lncRNA from 1 species
CAGGUGUUAAUGUAGGCAUUAGUGCUCUUUCAUUUGUAGAAUGAAACGAGCUGCUCAGAGUAUUUGAGCCUAAGACAAUGUGACUCAUGCUUUAAAGGAGAAAAAAAUUCUACCUUUUUUAUCCUCUUGAAAAUGACUAGUAUAUAAAAAAGUCAGUGCUUCCCAGCAUCUGGCUUUGAGCCUUUGGGCAACUAUGUAUGAUAGGCUUUGUUGCAAGGAGUCUGCUGUCAGUCACAUUCCCUGACCAAAAUCAAACCUUGCCUAUGUGGGGAGGUAUGUUGAUUUUGGUCACAAAUGGGAAUGGUGAGGAGAGAUCUCUUUCAUCCAUCCACCUUUUGGCACCAAACAUUCUUCUAUUCAUCAGGCCUGAAUGUAUCCAUCUUACAGUGUGAAUCCUGCUGUAAUUGAAAGGAUGAAAUAAGAUUACCUGAAAGCAUUUUGAAAGUGGCAAAGCUGUAUAGGCAAAUGUAUUUGCUAUUAAUAGUAAAUUAAUAGAGCUUUGAAAAAGUAUAAUUUUGCAUUGCAGCAAUUUCCAGUUUAUGUACUACCAAAAGUAGAGUAUCAAGCUUGUUAUGGAGUUGAAGCUCUGACUGAAAGUGAACUUUGUCGCUUAUGGACUGAAAGUUUAUUGCAUUCCAACAGCUCAUUUUAUGUUGGGCAUAUCGAUGCAUUUACUUCAAAACUUUUUCUACUGGAAGAAAUUACCUCAGAAGAAUUAAAAGAAAAGCUUUCAGCACUCAAGAUUUCCAAUUUAUUUAACAUCCUCCAACACAUUCUAAAGAAACUAAGUAGCUUGCAGGAGGGUUCCUACUUGUUAUCUCAUGCAGCAGAAGAUUCUUCACUCCUGAUUUAUAAGGCCUCUGAUGGAAAAGUUACUAGGACAGCAUACAAUUUGUAUAAAACACAUUGCGGCCUUCCUGGUGUACCUUCCAGUCUCUCAGUUCCCUGGGUCCCAUUAGAUCCCAGCCUGUUAUUACCAUAUCAUAUCCAUCAUGGAAGAAUACCUUGUACUUUUCCACCGAAAUCACUGGAUACCACAACACAACAAAAGAUUGGUGGAACGAGAAUGCCUACACGCAGCCACAGGAAUCCAGUUUCCAUGGAAACCAAAAGCAGUUGCUUGCCUGCUCAGCAAGUUGAAACUGAAGGAGUGGCUCCACAUAAAAGAAAAAUAACUUGAGGACUGUACCAUGGAAAACUAAAUUUAAAAAAACAGUUAUAACAGUGUUUAAUUUAGAUAAGUUUGAGGGAAAAUAAUCAGUAGGCAAGAGGAACAUUUUUCCUGUAGUAGCUAGAGUGCCUUGAAAAAAUGUGUUGGCUAUGUGAAGGAAUAUUUCAACUAAAAUGGAAUGGUAUGCUUUUCACCCUUGAAGUUUGAGGAGGAUCUUGAUAUGUUUUAACAUUAUCAUGGCAGGGAAAUAUAUAAAGAAGAAAAAUAUUUUUACAUUAAACCUUUUCUAAAAAUUGUAAAUAGAAAAAUAAUUUGGUUUUUUAUCAAGAACAACACUUAUCGUUAUGUAUUGUGUUAGUUAUAUUGCCAGUCUGUUGCGACUGACUCAAAAAGUUAAAUGUUGCCACUGCUGAAGAUGAUUAUGAGCAUCGCAAACUUUGUUUCUGACCCAUUUUGACAGUUUUUAUAUACUCCUUUAAAAUGAUGAAUGUUACAGGUUAAUAAAGUUAAUACCUUUAAAAACUUGGUGAAAUUCCAUUACAGAAGCCAAAAAUAAAAACUCCCUGCCUCUGAAAAGUCAGAUUACUGACUUCUUGUUUGGCAACCAUCAGUUUGUUUAAUAAAAGAAAAAAUUUGGUGGUAUAACAUGUUUGAUGACAGAUGCCUCUAUCUCUAGAUUCAAGCUGAGUGUUGAAAUACACUGCUGAAAGCAAAGAGAUAGGUAUGUUUUCCAGAAAAAAAGUCAGUGUCAUUGCUCCAGAUGACAAGGUUAAUGUGGUAAAGCAUAAGCUUUUUUUUUUUUUUGAGAUGGAGUCUCGCUCUGUUGCCCAGGCUGGAGUGCAGUGGCAUGAUCUCAGCUCACCACAACAUCCACCUCCUGGAUUAAAGCGAUUCUCCUGCCUCAUCCUCCCGAGUAGCUGGGACUACAGGCACCUACCACCAGGCUUGGCUAAUUUUUUUUUGUAUUUUUAGUAGAGACAGGGUGUUACCAUGUUGGCCGGGCUGGUCUCAAACUCCUGACCUUGUGAUCCGCCUGCCUUGGCCUCCCAAAGUGCUGGGAUUACAGGGGUAAGCCACCGUGCCUGGCCAGCAUAAGCUAUUUUUAUCCUCAUCUAUACUGAUUGAUUUAAAUUUUCCGGGCCUGCAGAUGAAUUUGGAAAAGGGCAUAAUCAACUGAUGUUGCUGUAGCAAAUUUGGACUUAAGAAACUACAGACAGGGCCGGGCGUGGUGGCUCACACCUGUAAUUCCAGCACUUCGCAAGGCCGAGGCGGGAGAAUCACUUGAGUCCAGGGGUUGGAGACCAGUCUGGGCAACACAGACCUCAUCUCUACAAAUAAAAAAGUUAGCCGGGUGUGGUGGGGUGUGCCUGUAGUCCCAGCUACUCAAAAGGCUGAGGCAGAAGAAUUGCUUGAGCCCAAGAAGUCAAGGCUACAGUGAGUUGUGAUCGCACCACAGAACUCAGCUUGAGUAUCAGAGUGUGACCCUGUCUCAAAGAAAAAAAAAAACAGGACAGGCUUGUUUAAUCUUUAGAACCCUUACACUAAAAUUUUCAGAAAUUAUGUAUGUCAUUUGUAAAAUAUAAGUUUUGUAAUCCUAGAUAAUUGCUUCACAUUGAAAUUUUUUAGCUAUUCUGUGUAAAGAAUAGCUAUUCUUUUGGCCUAAUUUCUGAGAAAUUAGACCGAAAAAUCUCCUCAAGUAUUGUAACAGUUGAAAAUACUUAUAUUCAACUACCAAGUUUUGUUUCAUUUUGAUUUUUUGUUAUAAAACAUUUUUAAGUUAUUUGAGAAGUAAUUAUUAGUAAAAUUGUAUCUUGAUAAAUCAUUUCCUCAUCCUGCCAUUCCCUUUUAUAAAACACUGAGUUUUUUUAUUCCUUAAGUCACAUAUCCCAGAAAUGUUUUGGUUGUGAAUCAUUUGCCAGCGAGCCAAGGGAGAGGCAGGGAUUCCCUUGAAAUGUACUCUUACACUUUUUUAUUUUAUUUUUAAUGUACAUUUGUGUGCACCAGAAUGGAAUGUGCUCUUUUUAAAGAGCUGGACAGUGGUUGCUUCAGACUUCUGAAUACCAGAAAGACUUGCCUUUUAAUUUUUAAAUAUUACUUUUUACAUCAUAAAAUGUGUUAUCUUAUCCAUGUAUUUGAAUAACAUCAUAUAUAAAGGUAGUUUUUUGCU